rnacentral:rRNA from 1 species
GAUGAACGCUGGCGGCGUGCCUAAUACAUGCAAGUCGAGCGAACGGACGAGAAGCUUGCUUCUCUGAUGUUAGCGGCGGACGGGUGAGUAACACGUGGAUAACCUACCUAUAAGACUGGGAUAACUUCGGGAAACCGGAGCUACUACCGGAUAAUAUUUUGAACCGCAUGGUUCAAAAGUGAAAGACGGUCUUGCUGUCACUUAUAGAUGGAUCCGCGCUGCAUUAGCUAGUUGGUAAGGUAACGGCUUACCAAGGCAACGAGGCAUAGCCGACCUGAGAGGGUGAUCGGCCACACUGGAACUGAGACACGGUCCAGACUCCUACGGGAGGCAGCAGUAGGGAAUCUUCCGCGAUGGGCGAAAGCCUGACGGAGCAACGCCGCGUGAGUGAUGAAGGUCUUCGGAUCGUAAAGCUCUGUUAUUAGGGAAGAACAUAUGUGUAAGUAACUGUGCACAUCUUGACGGUACCUAAUCAGAAAGCCACGGCUAACUACGUG